GGCGCUGAGGCGGAGGAAGUGAGCGGCGACCGGAGUGGCAGUGGGCAGGAAGCCACGGCGGUGUUCGACGUUCCUCUCUCCAGGGGCGAGGAAGAGCGGCGGCGGAGAGGAGGACGACGUCGCCGCUCCUCUCCCCGUUGUGGCCUUCCCCCUUUUCCUCUCCACACCGGCGCGGCCUCUCCCUCUCCGGUGUAGAUCUGGGAGACGGGCCGACAAGCUCGGCGUCGCGGAGAGGAGGCAGGCGACGAGCUCGAUAGCGCGGAGAGGAGGCGGGCGAUGAGCUUGGCAGCGGAAGAGGAGGAUGGCGACGACGAUGGCCUAGUCGAUCUAAUAGCUCAUCCAUACAAUAGUUACCUAUAAGCAUAUACUACAGCAUUAAUGUAUAGUCUCACAUCUUAUACACACACAAUAUAUUGGAGUCCUUGCUGCAGCGGGCUACAACCGCUUUCCUUCUAUCUCUUAUCUCCUCUAUAUGUGAUUACAACUUACUUGUAGACUGCUAUUGUACUCGCUCUAAGAGCAAGUUUAAUAGUAUAGCUAACUACUUACUCC
rnacentral:sRNA from 1 species